CCUUCCUCCCUCCAUAUUCCUCCCUCUGUCAUCUCUCUUCCUCCCUCCAUCUUCUCUCUUACUCCCAUUCAAACCUCCAGCAACAUCUUACCACCUUUCCCUCUAUCUCUCUUUCCCUCGUCAUCUCCCUCUGUGCCUCGUCAUCUCCCUCUGUCCCUCGUCAUCUCUAUCUUUCCCUCGUCAUCUCCCUCUGUCCCUCGUCAUCUCCCUCUGUCCCUCGUCUUCUCUCUCUGUCCCUCGUCAUCUCUCUCUUUCCCUCGUCAUCUCCCUCUGUCCCUCGUCAUCUCUCUCUGUCCCUCGUCAUCUCCCUCUGUCCCUCGUCAUCUCUCUCUGUCCCUCGUCAUCUCCCUCUGUCCCUCGUCAUCUCUCUCUGUCCCUCGUCAUCUCCCUCUGUCCCUCGUCAUCUCCCUCUGUCCCUCGUCAUCUCCCUCUGUCCCUCGUCAUCUCUCUCUGCAUCCUUCUGUCUCCUUCCAUCCCUCUCCCCCUCACACCUCAAGGGACAUAUUUAUCAAAUUUAUCUCUCAACAUGCUUCCUUAACCUUACUGUAAUCCCCCUCUCUUUAUAUCUCUCCAUCUCUCCCUCAUCCCUCCAUCUCAUCCUCCAUCCUUCCAUCUCUUCCUCCAUCCAUCUCUCACAACCAGCCCCAUAAUAUAGAGAUGAGUACUGCCUUAUCACAACCAGCCCCAUAAUAUAGAGGUGAGUACUGCCUUAUCACAACCAGCUCCAUAAUGCAGAGGUGAGUACUGCCUUAUCACAACCAGCCCCAUAAUAUAGAGAUGAGUACUGCCUUAUCACAACCAGUCCCAUAAUGCAGAGAUGAGUACUGCCUUAUCACAACCAGCCCCAUAAUAUAGAGAUGAGUACUGCCUUAUCACAACCAGUCCCAUAAUGCAGAGAUGAGUACUGCCUUAUCACAACCAGCCCCAUAAUGCAGAGAUGAGUACUGCCUUAUCACAACCAGCCCCAUAAUAUAGAGAGGAGUACUGCCUUAUGACAACCAGUCCCAUAAUGUAGAGAUGAGUACUGCCUUAUCACAACCAGCCCCAUAAUGUAGAGAUGAGUUCUGCCUUAUCACAACCAGCCCCAUAAUGUAGAGAGGAGUACUGCCUUAUGACAACCAGCCCCAUAAUAUAGAGAGGAGUACUGCCUUAUGACAACCAGCCCCAUAAUGUAGAGAGGAGUACUGCCUUAUGACAACCAGCCCCAUAAUAUAGAGAGGAGUACUGCCUUAUGACAACCAGCCCCAUAAUAUAGAGAUGAGUACUGCCUUAUCACUGACAAUGGGAAAUGAAAGGUAAAUAUUUGUAAAGAAAAUGAAAAAUAAGUAACUUUGUUAGACAAUAGUAGGUGUAUAAAUGAUUUAUUAUAUAUUUAAUAUAUGUACUUAGAGAUCCAGUUGUUUCUUUAUAAUGGUCAGUAUAUUGUGUAAACAAUUAUUAUGAGACUUAUGAAACCAUUCAAAAUGCAUGCAAGUCUGAGAUGUCUCUGACUCCUCACAGUAGAGGUUGGCAGCCAUUUAUACAAGGAAUUGAUUUUUAAUUCCAUUUCAAGCGGACCUUCCCAAGUCUGAGCGUGGCUCUACCUGACUGAUCUGUUAGAUGAACUGAUGAAUAAUAUUCACAACUCUAAAUGUAAUUUGUGUCUAGAUUCAACAGGGAUGUUGGCCCAUGUUGACUCCAAUGCUUCCCACAGUGGUGUCAAGUGUCAAGGCUGGAUGUCCUUUGGGUGGUGGACCAUUCUUCAUACACACGGGAAACUGUUGAAUGUGGGAAAACCCAGCAGCGUUGCAGUUCUUGACACACUCAAACCGGUGCGCCUGGCACCUAUUACCAUAACUCGGUGGUAUGGUAUCAAUCGACUCUCUUCAUUAAAAUAUUGACUUUAAAACUAUGCCUCUGAUGUGUUUCUUCAUCACCAACAGGAAAUACUAGUUUAAGUAUAGUGACAGUUUGUUUCCCAACAGGAAAGACUAGUUUAAGUAUAGUGACAGUUUGUUACCCAACAGGAAAGACUAGUUUAAGUAUAGUGACAGUUUGUUUCCCAACAGGAAAGACUAGUUUAAGUAUAGUGACAGUUUGUUUCCCAACAGGAAAGACUAGUUUAAGUAUAGUGACAGUUUGUUACCCAACAGGAUUUAUUUCUCCAUGUGCUCCUGUGUCAAAAGGCCAUUUCAGUCAUCCCAACGACAGUUACACAUUUUGGAUGUGUUGAGUGAUUACUGCAUAUUAACUUAAUUAAACAGUCUUUAUAUGGAUCGUCCCAAAGCAGAUCUACAGAGGGAAACUAAG
rnacentral:lncRNA from 1 species